rnacentral:lncRNA from 1 species
AUUUAUAAAAUAUUCGAUCGAUUAUGCAUAUUUUAGUGAAAAAUGAAUUGUACUUCUUUGCAUCAAAAUGUGUUGUAUGUUGGUUCCACUGCUCUUUAGUCUAACUACGAUCACAUAGAUUCAAGAUCUAGUUACCUUUCGAGCCUUUAGUAGGAUGAUCACUAGUGCACACUGGCAAACAGUAUAUUAUAGUCAGGGGUUAGUUUUUCUUUCAGACCUAGUUAGGUCGGGUUGAUCGCUAGCACGUGUUAGUGAGAGCAUGUUACUCUAUAUGAUAUUAGAGUUAGUUUCUCUUUUAGGCCUCUAGUGGGAUGAUCAUUAGUGCAUGAUCGAUGAAUGGCAUGUUAUAGUCAGGAUGUAGUCUCUUUUGAGGCUAGUCAUGGGCCAAUCAUGGCCAUAGUUAGAGAGACUAGGAGAGUGAGAGUGGAA